rnacentral:rRNA from 1 species
AAUGAACGUUGGCGGCGUGGAUUAGGCAUGCAAGUCGUGCGCGAAUCGUAGCAAUACGAGGAGAGCGGCGAAAGGGAGAGGAUAGCAUAGAUACCUACCCCCGGGCCUGGGAUAGCUAUGGGAAACUAUAGGUAAUACCAGAUAACGUCCCCGGACCAAAGGUGUGAUUCCGUCCGAGGAGGGGUCUAUGCCCUAUUAGCUUGUUGGUGAGGUAACGGCUCACCAAGGCCAAGAUGGGUACGAGGCGUGAGAGCGUGUCCUCGCUCACUGGGACUGAGACACUGCCCAGACACCUACGGGUGGCUGCAGUCGAGAAUCUUCGGCAAUGGGCGCAAGCCUGACCGAGCGACGCCGCGUGCGGGAUGAAGGCCUUCGGGUUGUAAACCGCUGUCAGUGCGGAGGAAAUAUAGAGGGGUUCUCCCCUUUAUUUGACCUAUGCGCAGAGGAAGGACGGGCUAAGUUCGUGCCAGCCGCCGCUGUAAUAC